GAUGAACGCUGGCGGCGUGCCUAAUACAUGCAAGUCGAGCGAACGGACGAGAAGCUUGCUUCUCUGAUGUUAGCGGCGGACGGGUGAGUAACACGUGGAUAACCUACCUAUAAGACUGGGAUAACUUCGGGAAACCGGCGCUAAUACCGGAUGAUAUUUUGAACCGCAUGGUUCAAAAGUGAAAGACGGUCUUGCUGUCACUUAUAGAUGGAUCCGGGCUGCAUUAGCUAGUUGGUAAGGUAACGGCUUACCAAGGCAACUAUGCAUAGCCGAGCUGAGAGAGUGAUCGGCGACACUGGAACUGGAACGCGGUCCAGACUCCUACGGGAGGCAGCAGUAGCGAAUCUUCCGCAAUGGGCGAAAGCCUGACGGAACAACGCCGCGUGAGUGAUGAAGGUCUUCGGAUCGUAAAACUCUGUUAUGAGGGAAGAACAUAUGUGUAAGUAAAUGUGCACAUCUUGACGGUACCUAAUCAGAAAGCAACGGCUAACUACGUG
rnacentral:rRNA from 1 species